rnacentral:rRNA from 1 species
UACGAAGGGGGCUAGCGUUGCUCGGAAUGACUGGGCGUAAAGGGCGCGUAGGCGGCCUCAUUUGUCAGGCGUGAAAGUCCUGGGCUUAACGCGGGGGUGUCGCUUGGGACGGUGGGGCUUGAGGGGGGAAGAGGGUCGUGGAAUUCCCAGUGUAGAGGUGAAAUUCGUAGAUAUUGGGAAGAACACCGGUGGCGAAGGCGGCGUCCUGGUGCUUGACUGACGCUGAGGCGCGAGAGCUUGGGGAGCAAACAGG